UUCGGUGGUGCAGUGGUAGCACGCGCCAUCGCUAAGGGUGAAACGCGAGUUCAAUUCCCGUUUGCGGUCGAAA